rnacentral:rRNA from 1 species
UACGUAGGGUGCGAGCGUUAAUCGGAAUUACUGGGCGUAAAGCGUGCGCAGGCGGUUUUGUAAGCCAGAUGUGAAAUCCCCGGGCUUAACCUGGGAAUGGCAUUUGGGACUGCAAAGCUUGAGUGCGGCAGAGGGGACUGGAAUUCCUGGUGUAGCGGUGAAAUGCGCAGAUAUCAGGAGGAACACCGGUGGCGAAGGCGGUUCUCUGGGCCUGUACUGACGCUGAGGAACGAAAGCGUGGGGAGCGAACAGG